rnacentral:lncRNA from 12 species
GGGGGGGGGGGGGGGGGGGGGGGGGGGGGGGGGGGGGGGGGGGGGGGGGGGGGGGGGGGGGGGGCCAGGGGGUUUUGGGGGGAUUUGGGGGGAUUCAAAGCCAUUCCAGGGGGUUCAAAGCCAUUCCAGGGUUUCAAACCCGUUCAGGGUGAUCCCAGCUGGAAUUGGGCGUGCUGCAGAGCAUCAUCGACAGCCAAGGUCACUGCUCGGUGGGGCUUGGGGGGAUUUCAUUGGUUCAAACCCAUUCCAGGGGUUCAAACCCAUUCAGGGGGGGAUUUCGGGGGGAUUCUGGGCAGUUCAAACCCAUUCCAGGGAUUCAAACCCAUUCCAGGGAGUUUCCAGCUGGAAUUGGGGGUGGUGCAGAGCGUCAUCGACAGCCAAGGGAAGAGCGUGCCGGCGGCGGCGCGCGUGGAGCCCUUCGUGUGCGCGCAGUGCCGCACGGAUUUCACUCCAGAUUUCCCAGUUUGACCCCAGUUUUUGGUGUUUCCAUUGGGAAUAUCCCAGUUUGAGCCCAGCCCUGGCUGACCCAGGCUGUGUUUGACUCCAGGGAAGAGCGUGCCGGCGGCGGCGCGCGUGGAGCCCUUCGUGUGCGCGCAGUGCCGCACGGAUUUCACUCCAGAUUUCCCAGUUUGACCCCAGUUUUUGGUGUUUCCAUUGGGAAUAUCCCAGUUUGAGCCCAGCCCUGGCUGACCCAGGCUGUGUUUGACUCCAGGGAAGAGCGUGCCGGCGGCGGCGCGCGUGGAGCCCUUCGUGUGCGCGCAGUGCCGCACGGAUUUCACUCCAGAUUUCCCAGUUUGACCCCAGUUUUUGGUGUUUCCAUUGGGAAUAUCCCAGUUUGAGCCCAGCCCUGGCUGACCCAGGCUGUGUUUGACUCCAGGGAAGAGCGUGCCGGCGGCGGCGCGCGUGGAGCCCUUCGUGUGCGCGCAGUGCCGCACGGAUUUCACUCCAGAUUUCCCAGUUUGACCCCAGUUUUUGGUGUUUCCAUUGGGAAUAUCCCAGUUUGAGCCCAGCCCUGGCUGACCCAGGCUGUGUUUGACUCCAGGGAAGAGCGUGCCGGCGGCGGCGCGCGUGGAGCCCUUCGUGUGCGCGCAGUGCCGCACGGAUUUCACUCCAGAUUUCCCAGUUUGACCCCAGUUUUUGGUGUUUCCAUUGGGAAUAUCCCAGUU